UACGUAGGAUGCAAGCGUUGUCCGGAUUUACUGGGCGUAAAGCGCGCGCAGGCGGCUCUUUAAGUAUGGCGUGAAAUCUCCCUGCUCAACGGGGAGGGUGCGUUGUAGACUGAGGAGCUUGAGGUCGGUAGAGGGGGGUGGAAUUGCUGGUGUAGCGGUGAAAUGCGUAGAGAUCAGCAGGAACACCCGUGGCGAAGGCGGCCCCCUGGGCCGUACCUGACGCUGAGGCGCGAAAGCGUGGGGAGCGAACAGG
rnacentral:rRNA from 1 species